rnacentral:rRNA from 1 species
CACGUAGGGCGCAAGCGUUGUCCGGAAUUAUUGGGCGUAAAGAGCUCGUAGGCGGUCUGUUGCGUCCGCUGUGAAAACCCGGGGCUUAACCCUGGGCUGGCAGUGGAUACGGACAGACUAGAGGUAGGUAGGGGAGAAUGGAAUUCCCGGUGUAGCGGUGAAAUGCGCAGAUAUCGGGAGGAACACCGGUGGCGAAGGCGGUUCUCUGGGCCUUACCUGACGCUGAGGAGCGGAAGCGUGGGGAGCGAACAGG